AUUGAACGCUGGCGGCAGGCCUAACACAUGCAAGUCGAACGAGUGGCGGACGGGUGAGUAAUGUCUGGGAAACUGCCCGAUGGAGGGGGGUAACUACUGGAAACGGUAGCUAAUACCGCAUACCAUCGGAUGUGCCCAGAUGGGAUUAGCUAGUAGGUGGGGUAACGGCUCACCUAGGCGACGAUCCCUAGCUGGUCUGAGAGGAUGACCAGAAACGCGGGAACGGAGAAACGGGCCAUAAUCCGACGGGAGGCAGCAGUGGGGAAUAUUGGACAAUGGGCGCAAGCCUGAUGCAGCCAGGCCGCGUGUAUGAAGAAGGCCUUCGGGUUGUAAAGUACUUGCAGCGAGGAGGCGUUACUCGCAGAAGAAGCACCGGCGAACUCCGUGCCAGCAGCCGCGGUAAUUC
rnacentral:rRNA from 1 species